AGGGCUGAGAGGAGGAAACAGUGGAGGCACAGAGGAGAGGACAUGCCUUAUGGGAACAGCUGCGGUUCCUACAAGGGGAAUGGCUGAAGUUAUUUAAAGCCAGGGCGACGGCCACCUGGGGGGCUGUUGGGAUCUUUGGUCAGGGUCGCUUUCUGUCUGUGGAUGCCAAGCGCAGCUGCUGCCUCCCUGUGCACCGCUGUCCUGUGUGGCUUCCACUGUGGUUACGCUGCACGGCCACUCUCAGAGCUGGCCCGGGCUCGUAUUUGGGCUGCUGUGUGGUCCCUUCUCUCCCACAGCCGCCUUUGCAUGGACAGUGUCCCUGAAGGCCAUCUCCCUGACUCCAGGCAGGCCAGGUUCUUCCUGAGUGUGUGUGAGUGUGUGAGGCGCACAGCUCAGGUCUUCGGAGGUGGGCUCCUGUGCAGUCACAGCCAGAGGACUCUUCACAGAAGAGCCUGGUUGUCCCCGCUGCGGAGACAAAGCUGUUGACACCAGCUAGGGAGGCUGCUUAGACUCUGGCUCCCGGAGCGAACGGACGGAGAUAAACGUCAGCUUUCUUCAACUGUGGGCUGCAGCUCCAUAUGUGACUGAAUGUGGAGGGCACAACAAACCGGACAGCAGUUAGAGGUUUCCAAGCUCAGAGCAGUCAAGAAGUAACUCAAAAUGAAAGCCACAGCAGAUCCAAGGUCUCUCUGGCCGUGCUCCCCUGCGCACCGGAACACGGCUUCACUGCGCCCCCGGAUGUGCUUGCUGCCACCACACACACCCAGCAGUGCGGCCGGAAUCCCCCAGUGCGCGGCUUACUGUGCAUGACUGGUGUUUGCAUUGUGUACAACGCUAUCUGCUCUCAUAGAAACGCAGCAGCUUAACUAUGGAAAACGAAGACUUAGCAUUGUCCUCCCUCGCUGGGUCUCAAACGAAUGUCUGUGUGCCUUUUACUGCUAGGAAUGCUUGAGGCUGUUUUUCAUCCCCCAGCAUAUAACAUUUGAACAAGAGUUAAUGUAAAUGUGAUGAGCUCAUCGUCUCAUUAGUAUUAUUCAAAUUUGCUUUUAUUGCUCUUGAGUGGUAAAUUUACCAAAUUAUGCCAAAACUUAUGAUUUUUUUUUUUUAAUCGUUCAUGGUCACUAGAUGUUUGGUGUUUAUACCUUUUUUGGGAGAUGUGGUGGUUUGAACAGGAAUGGCCCUCGUAGACUCAUGUGUUUGAGUGCUUGGGGGGUGUGGCCUGGCUGGAGGAAGUGAGUCACCGUGGGGUUGGGCUUUGAGGCCUCCUACGCUUAGGCUACACCCAGUGGGCAGUCUCCUUCUGCUGCUUGUGGAACGCAAUGCAAUGCGGAACCCUCAGCUCCUUCUCCAGCACUGUGUCUGCCUGCAUGCUGCCACGUUUCCUGCAAUGGUGAUAACGGAGUAAACCUCUUUAACUAUGAGCCAGUCCCAGCUAAAUGCUUUCCUUUGUGAGAGUCGCCUUGGUCCUAGCAUGUCUUCACAGCAGUGCAAACCCUAGCUAAGACAGGAGACAAUCUGAUUUUAAUUUUAAAAUGUGUUUCUAAAGAUUUAAUUUUUUGCGUAGAUGGGUGGGUUUUUAUGUGCACCACAUGUGUGCCUGGUGCCCAUGGAAGGCAGAAGGUAUCAGAUCCCCUUGAGCUGGAGUCACAGGCAGGUGUGGACAUCCUGAUGGGAGUGCUGGGAACCAAACAUGAGUCCCCUGGAAGAGCAGUGAGUUCUUUCAGCCACUGAGCCGUCCCUCCAGCCCCUUCUUUUUGUUUUUAUGUGUAUGUCUGAGUGUAUGCCACAGGUGCCCGCUGUGGUGCUGUGGUGGUUUGAAUGAGAAUCGUCCCUCUAAGCCCAUACAUUUAAAUGCUUGAUCCCUAGUUGGCGGAACUGUUUAGGAAGGAUUAGGGGGUGUGGCCUUGCUGGAGGAGAUAUAUCACUAAGGGUUGGGCUUUGAGAUUUUAAAAGCCCACCACAGGCUAAGUCUCUCUCAUUCUCUGUGUCCGACUUGUGGAUCAAGUGUAAGCUCUGAGCUACUGCUCCCGCACCAUGUCUGCCUGCUGCUAAGCUCCCUGCCAUGAUGGUCAUGGACUCACCUCUGACACCAGAGAAAUGCUCCAGAGCUUCUCCGGGCAAUCCAACUGAGGCUUUCAGCUUUCGUUGCUUCGUGUUGGCCUUUGGACCGGACUGCCGGUAUCCUGACUACUGAGUCUGGUAAUCCCCUAAUGACCCAUUGACCCUAGUCAGCAGGAAGUAGAUAAAAGAGGACUCCAGCCCCUUUUCCUACUCAUCUACCUAAGGUUGUGGGGAGUGGUUGGAAGGAGGAAAAGGUGCUUAAGAACCCUAAAUGAAGUAGGUUUGGUGAGAAAGCUAAGCCUCCAGAUGGCAGAGAAGGUUUCAAGACAGCCUAGUACUGACUGUAAUACACAUACUUACUCUUAUGCAGACUACACAGAAAAAGAGCAAGCAAGGCAAAAAUAAAUGCAAAGUGUACAGUUUGAGGAGACAAAGAGCACCAGGGAAUGCAAUGCUGAGGCCAAGCCUUGCGCUCAAAGAGACGAGAUUUAAGGAAAAGCCUGGAGUAACGGGGCGAUGCCCUCAGUGUAAGACCUCACCUAACGAAUCCUGCAACCUGCGAAAGGAAAAGGCUAUGCUGUCAUUCAAGGAGGGGUGUUGUGGAUAGAAACAUGUUUUUUGUUUUGGUCCCACGUGUGGGAUGUGGGACUGGUUCAGAUGGUCCACAGCAGCACACCAUUUGCCUCCUGUAGGCUCUGAGAGGAGCUCUUUGCCAGUUGCAAACAGUUUGAAUCCCAAGACUCUGGAGAGAGAAUAAAUGCCAGAGCUCAGAGAGUGUGAUCCCCAAGAAAGGACAAUGCUGCUCCUGCUUCCCCCUGCUGCUCCUGGUUGCUGUUGUGAGCCAAGAAGUUGGAGAUCUUCUGAAAUGAGGAUUGGACUGGCUCCCCAAAACCCAACGACCCUAACCAGCAGAAAGCAGCUAAGAGAAGGAUUCCCCACUAACCCUUUCUCUCUCCUAACUGGUGUUCAGGGUAGGGGUUGGGGGUUGGGGGUUGGAAGGGAUUGGGGUAGAGUAAGGAGAAAAAGAUAAAAAGAAAUGUAAAUAAAAGAGUUUUUAAAAAGUACACAGGAGAACCAUCAGCUGUGUGGUUCUGGCUUUGUCAAGAAGGAUACAGGAGUAAAGGGACUGUGGGAUCUUCCUCUGAGGGUAAGGAAUGCUGCUGGGGCCAGGGGUGUGGCAGCAGAGUCGCUGCAUAGAGGUUUGGACAGGCCAUAGAGUGAAGGUGUGAAGGUGAAGCCUGGAUUGCCGUGGAGCUCUCAAAAGGAUGGAGAUGCCAGAGCCAUGGGACACCUGCCAAGGAGAGCUGCAGACAGGGAGUGGAAGCAGCCCAAGCUGAGACACGUGUUUCAGUCAACAAAGCCGGAAGUACAGCUAUCUAAGUCCUUUGACAUCAGACAGAGAGAUACCAUGGAUUUGGAGUUUGCCCUGUUGAGGUUUGGUCCAGUAUUUCCUGCGUCUCCUGUCUUCCCUUUGGAAUGGCAGUGUAUAUUUUGUGCCAUUGUACACUGGAAAUAUGUAAUUUGCCUUUUGGUUUUUGUCAGGUGUUACAGUUAAAGAGUCUCAGAAGGGACUUUGGACUUUUAAAGUACUGAUGCUGUAAAAAAAAACUAGGGUGAUUUUUGAAGUUGAACUGAAUGCAUUUGCAUUAUGAUGUGGUUACAGGCCUACGGAGGCCAGAAAGUGGAAUAUGGUGGUUUGAACGAGA